rnacentral:rRNA from 1 species
ACGCUCGACACCUAGGGUGGCAGCAGUGGGGAAUAUUGCACAAUGGGGGAAACCCUGAUGCAGCGACGCCGCGUGAAGGAAGAAGUAUCUCGGUAUGUAAACUUCUAUCAGCAGGGAAGAAAAUGACGGUACCUGACUAAGAAGCCCCGGCUAACUACGUGCUAGCAGCCGCGGUAAUCUGAGCGGGCUGGCAAGGC